rnacentral:rRNA from 1 species
UACGUAGGGGGCGAGCGUUGUCCGGAAUUACUGGGCGUAAAGGGCGAGUAGGCGGUUUUACAAGUCAGAUGUGAAAUACCAGGGCUUAACCCUGGGGCUGCAUUUGAAACUGUAAGACUUGAGUGCAGGAGAGGAAAGUGGAAUUCCCAGUGUAGCGGUGAAAUGCGUAGAUAUUGGGAGGAACACCAGUGGCGAAGGCGACUUUCUGGACUGUAACUGACGCUGAGGCGCGAAAGCGUGGGGAGCAAACAGG